GACGAACGCUGGCGGCGUGCUUAACACAUGCAAGUCGAACGGAAAGGCCCUGCUUUUGUGGGGUGCUCGAGUGGCGAACGGGUGAGUAACACGUGAGUAACCUGCCCUUGACUUUGGGAUAACUUCAGGAAACUGGGGCUAAUACCGGAUAGGAGCUCCUGCUGCAUGGUGGGGGUUGGAAAGUUUCGGCGGUUGGGGAUGGACUCGCGGCUUAUCAGCUUGUUGGUGGGGUAGUGGCUUACCAAGGCUUUGACGGGUAGCCGGCCUGAGAGGGUGACCGGCCACAGUGGGACUGAGAUACGGCCCAGACUACUACGGGAGGCAGCAGUGGGGAAUAUUGCACAAUGGGCGGAAGCCUGAUGCAGCAACGCCGCGUGCGGGAUGACGGCCUUCGGGUUGUAAACCGCUUUCGCCUGUGACGAAGCGUGAGUGACGGUAAUGGGUAAAGAAGCACCGGCUAACUACGUG
rnacentral:rRNA from 1 species